rnacentral:rRNA from 1 species
GACGAACGCUGGCGGCGUGCUUAACACAUGCAAGUCGAACGGAAAGGCCCUGCUUUUGUGGGGUGCUCGAGUGGCGAACGGGUGAGUAACACGUGAGUAACCUGCCCUUGACUUUGGGAUAACUUCAGGAAACUGGGGCUAAUACCGGAUAGGAGCUCCUGCUGCAUGGUGGGGGUUGGAAAGUUUCGGCGGUUGGGGAUGGACUCGCGGCUUAUCAGCUUGUUGGUGGGGUAGUGGCUUACCAAGGCUUUGACGGGUAGCCGGCCUGAGAGGGUGACCGGCCACAUUGGGACUGAGAUACGGCCCAGACUCCUACGGGAGGCAGCAGUGGGGAAUAUUGCACAAUGGGCGGAAGCCUGAUGCAGCAACGCCGCGUGCGGGAUGACGGCCUUCGGGUUGUAAACCGCUUUCGCCUGUGACGAAGCGUGAGUGACGGUAAUGGGUAAAGAAGCACCGGCUAACUACGUGCCAGCAGCCGCGGUGAUACGUAGGGUGCGAGCGUUGUCCGGAUUUAUUGGGCGUAAAGGGCUCGUAGGUGGUUGAUCGCGUCGGAAGUGCAAUCUUGGGGCUUAACCCUGAGCGUGCUUUCGAUACGGGUUGACUUGAGGAAGGUAGGGGAGAAUGGAAUUCCUGGUGGAGCGGUGGAAUGCGCAGAUAUCAGGAGGAACACCAGUGGCGAAGGCGGUUCUCUGGGCCUUUCCUGACGCUGAGGAGCGAAAGCGUGGGGAGCGAACAGGCUUAGAUACCCUGGUAGUCCACGCUGUAAACGGUGGGUACUAGGUGUGGGGUCCAUUCCACGGGUUCCGUGCCGUAGCUAACGCUUUAAGUACCCCGCCUGGGGAGUACGGCCGCAAGGCUAAAACUCAAAGGAAUUGACGGGGCCCCGCACAAGCGGCGGAGCAUGCGGAUUAAUUCGAUGCAACGCGUAGAACCUUACCUGGGUUUGACAUGGAUCGGGAGCGCUCAGAGAUGGGUGUGCCUCUUUUGGGGUCGGUUCACAGGUGGUGCAUGGCUGUCGUCAGCUCGUGUCGUGAGAUGUUGGGUUAAGUCCCGCAACGAGCGCAACCCUUGUUCACUGUUGCCAGCACGUUAUGGUGGGGACUCAGUGGAGACCGCCGGGGUCAACUCGGAGGAAGGUGGGGAUGACGUCAAGUCAUCAUGCCCCUUAUGUCCAGGGCUUCACGCAUGCUACAAUGGCUGGUACAGAGAGUGGCGAGCCUGUGAGGGUGAGCGAAUCUCGGAAAGCCGGUCUCAGUUCGGAUUGGGGUCUGCAACUCGACCUCAUGAAGUCGGAGUCGCUAGUAAUCGCAGAUCAGCAACGCUGCGGUGAAUACGUUCCCGGGGCU